ACGGUAUCUUUGGAUACAGUGGCGAACGGGUGAGUAACACGUAGGGAACCUGGCCAUACCUGGGGGAUAAUUUCUGGAAACGGAAACUAAUACCGCAUGGGUUUUGCUUAAGCCUUUAAGCGAAAUGAAAGAAGCGCGAGACGCUUCGGGGAUGGAUGGUCCUGCGCUGCAUUAGCUGGCUGGUGAGGCAACGGCUCACCAGGGCGAUGAUGCAUAGCCGGCCUGAGAGGGCGGACGGCCACACUGGGACUGAGACACGGCCCAGACUCCUGCGGGAGGCAGCAGUAGGGAAUUUUCGUCAAUGGGGGCAACCCUGAACGAGCAAUGCCGCGUGAGCGAAGAAGGUCUUCGGAUUGUAAAGCUCUGUUGCCGGGGAAAAAGGAAGGAAAGAGGAAAUGCUUUUCUUUGGAUGGUACCCGGCCAGAAAGUCACGGCUAACUACGUGCCAGCAGCCGCGGUAAUACGUAGGUGGCAAGCGUUAUCCGGAAUGAUUGGGCGUAAAGGGUGAGCAGGCGGUUCUUCAAGUCAUGAGUGAAAGGCAGAAGCUUAACUUCUGUUGGCUGAUGAGACUGGAGAACUUGAGUACAGGAGAGGGCGGCGGAACUCCAUGUGUAGCGGUAAAAUGCGUAGAGAUAUGGAAGAACACCAGUGGCGAAGGCGGCCGCCUGGACUGAAACUGACGCUCAGGCACGAAAGCGUGGGGAGCAAAUAGGAUUAGAUACCCUAGUAGUCCACGCCGUAAACGAUGAGGAGCAGGUGUCGCAAUGAAAU
rnacentral:rRNA from 1 species